rnacentral:rRNA from 1 species
CAAACGACUCUCGGCAACGGAUAUCUCAGCUCUCGCAUCGAUGAAGAACGUAGCGAAAUACGAUACUUGGUGUGAAUUGCAGAAUCCCGUGAACCAUCGAGUCUUUGAAUGCAAGUUGCGCCCAAAGCCAUUAGGCCGAGGGCACGUCUGCCUGGGCGUCACGC